AUUGAACGCUGGCGGCAUGCCUUACACAUGCAAGUCGAACGGCAGCACGGGUGCUUGCACCUGGUGGCGAGUGGCGAACGGGUGAGUAAUACAUCGGAACAUGUCCUGUAGUGGGGGAUAGCCCGGCGAAAGCCGGAUUAAUACCGCAUACGAUCUACGGAUGACAGCGGGGGACCUUCGGGCCUCGCGCUAUAGGGUUGGCCGAUGGCUGAUUAGCUAGUUGGUGGGGUAAAGGCCUACCAAGGCGACGAGCAGGAGCUGGUCUGAGAGGACGACCAGCCACACUGGGACUGAGACACGGCCCAGACUCCUACGGGAGGCAGCAGUGGGGAAUUUUGGACAAUGGGCGAAAGCCUGAUCCAGCAAUGCCGCGUGUGUGAAGAAGGCCUUCGGGUUGUAAAGCACUUUUGUCCGGAAAGAAAUCCUUGGCCCUAAUACGGUCGGGGGAUGACGGUACCGGAAGAAUAAGCACCGGCUAACUACGUG
rnacentral:rRNA from 1 species